CCUACGGGUGGCAGCAGUAGGGAAUGUUCGGCAAUGGGGGGAACCCUGACCGAGCAACGCCGCGGGAAAGAAGAAGUUAUUCGGAAUGUAAAGUUCUUUUAACAGGGAAGAAAGAGAAAUUUGACGGUACCUGUAGAAUAAGCCCCGGCAAACCACGUGCCAGCAGCCGCGGCAAUACGUAGGGAGCGAGCGUUAUCCGGAAUUAUUGGGCGUAAAGGGUGCGUAGAUGGCAUAGUAAGUCUUUUGUAAAAGUGCUGGGCUCAACCCAGUAGGGCAAGUGAUACUGUAAAGCUAGAGUAUGCCAGAGGCAAGUGGAACUACAUGUGUAGCGGUCAAAUGCGUAGAUAUAUGUAAGAACACCAGUGGCGAAGGCGGCUUGCUGGGUCGAUACUGACAUUGAGGCACGAAAGCGUGGGGAGCAAACAGGAUUAGAUACCCCGGUAGUC
rnacentral:rRNA from 1 species